GAUGGCGACCGGCGCACGGGUGAGUAACACGUAUCCAACCUGCCGAUGACUCGGGGAUAGCCUUUCGAAAGAAAGAUUAAUACCCGAUGGCAUAGUUCUUCCGCAUGGUAGAACUAUUAAAGGAUUUCGGUCAUCGAUGGGGAUGCGUUCCAUUAGGUUGUUGGCGGGUAACGGCCCACCAAGCCUUCGAUGGAUAGGGGUUCUGAGAGGAAGGUCCCCCACAUUGGAACUGAGACACGGUCCAAACUCCUACGGGAGGCAGCAUG
rnacentral:rRNA from 1 species